rnacentral:rRNA from 1 species
CAGUAGCCACGGGAAUACAGAGGGUGCGAGCGUUAAUCGGAUUUACUGGGCGUAAAGCGUGCGUAGGCGGCUUCUUAAGUCGGAUGUGAAAUCCCUGAGCUUAACUUAGGAAUUGCAUUCGAUACUGGGAAGCUAGAGUGUGGGAGAGGAUGGUAGAAUUCCAGGUGUAGCGGUGAAAUGCGUAGAGAUCUGGAGGAAUACCGAUGGCGAAGGCAGCCAUCUGGCCUAACACUGACGCUGAGGUACGAAAGCAUGGGGAGCAAACAGGAUUAGAUACCCCGGUAGUCCCUGUCUCUUAUAA